rnacentral:SRP_RNA from 1 species
UUAUGGGCUAGGUUGGGGCUAGGGGUCCCUUUACCGCAAACCCCCUUAUGGCGGACCGAAUGCCCGGAGCGUUAUACGUGGGGGCUGCGUCUUCUGUCGUAGGCGUAGAUGUCCUGCCCUGCGUGGCGGUCUGUUUUGUGAAACUGGUCAGGCCGGAAGGAGCAGCCAUAAGCAACUCAGGCCGUGCUUGCAGGAUACAGAGCGGAGUCGAAGACUGAAGCUCCGCAUCUUUCAUGUAUGGCAAACCGGGAAGCCCAUCA